AGAAGCAAACGUGUGCUAGCCUCUACUCUUGACUGUACACACAGGAGAGUAAGAAGCCAGAUUCAAGCAGGCAAGCCUACUGCCGGAAAAGCAGCUUCUUUUCCCAUACUGCUCCUUACACGCGAGUAUGCCAGAGAGUAUAUUGGGAAUCACUGGAAUGGGACAACAAGGCUCCUUAGUUCAAGGAUGGACACAGAAAUUACCCCAUGCAUAUCACAAUGCACGUCAACGAGGGCGUGCAAGAUAAAGAAAAAGCAUCACACCUCCUGCGAAGAAUGCCCGGGUGCACUACAUAUCAGGCUUGUUUUCUUCCUCUGUUAAAAAACGUGCUGAGAACAAAGUAAUGAAGGGAUUGCCAAA